GAGGGCUGACGGAUAAUGCUU
rnacentral:misc_RNA from 1 species